rnacentral:rRNA from 1 species
CAAUCAAACCGGGAGAUAGCUGGUUCUCCCCGAAAGCUAUUUAGGUAGCGCCUCGUGAAUUCAUCUCCGGGGGUAGAGCACUGUUUCGGCUAGGGGGCCAUCCCGGCUUACCAACCCGAUGCAAACUGCGAAUACCGGAGAAUGUUAUCACGGGAGACACACGGCGGGUGCUAACGUCCGUCGUGAAGAGGGAAACAACCCAGACCGCCAGCUAAGGUCCCAAAGUCAUGGUUAAGUGGGAAACGAUGUGGGAAGGCCCAGACAGCCAGGAUGUUGGCUUAGAAGCAGCCAUCAUUUAAAGAAAGCGUAAUAGCUCACUGGUCGAGUCGGCCUGCGCGGAAGAUGUAACGGGGCUAAACCAUGCACCGAAGCUGCGGCAGCGAACGUAUCACCCAAGACAACUUUACGGAGUUGACGAUUGACGGAGCGAAGCGACGUCAAAGCGUUCAUUAAAGUCGAGUUGGCUUAGGGAUACGUUCGUUGGGUAGGGGAGCGUUCUGUAAGCCUGUGAAGGUGUGUCGUGAGGCAUGCUGGAGGUAUCAGAAGUGCGAAUGCUGACAUAAGUAACGAUAAAGCGGGUGAAAAGCCCGCUCGCCGGAAGACCAAGGGUUCCUGUCCAACGUUAAUCGGGGCAGGGUGAGUCGACCCCUAAGGCGAGGCCGAAAGGCGUAGUCGAUGGGAAACGGGUUAAUAUUCCCGUACUUGGUGUUACUGCGAAGGGGGGACGGAGAAGGCUAUGUUGGCCGGGCGACGGUUGUCCCGGUUUAAGCGUGUAGGUGUGUGUUCCAGGUAAAUCCGGUUCACUUUAACACUGAGGCGUGACGACGAGGCACUACGGUGCUGAAGCAACAAAUGCCCUGCUUCCAGGAAAAGCCUCUAAGCAUCAGGUAACAUCAAAUCGUACCCCAAACCGACACAGGUGGUCAGGUAGAGAAUACCAAGGCGCUUGAGAGAACUCGGGUGAAGGAACUAGGCAAAAUGGUGCCGUAACUUCGGGAGAAGGCACGCUGACACGUAGGUGAAGUGAUUUACUCAUGGAGCUGAAGUCAGUCGAAGAUACCAGCUGGCUGCAACUGUUUAUUAAAAACACAGCACUGUGCAAACACGAAAGUGGACGUAUACGGUGUGACGCCUGCCCGGUGCCGGAAGGUUAAUUGAUGGGGUCAGCGCAAGCGAAGCUCCUGAUCGAAGCCCCGGUAAACGGCGGCCGUAACUAUAACGGUCCUAAGGUAGCGAAAUUCCUUGUCGGGUAAGUUCCGACCUGCACGAAUGGCGUAAUGAUGGCCAGGCUGUCUCCACCCGAGACUCAGUGAAAUUGAACUCGCUGUGAAGAUGCAGUGUACCCGCGGCAAGACGGAAAGACCCCGUGAACCUUUACUAUAGCUUGACACUGAACAUUGAGCCUUGAUGUGUAGGAUAGGUGGGAGGCUUUGAAGUGUGGACGCCAGUCUGCAUGGAGCCGACCUUGAAAUACCACCCUUUAAUGUUUGAUGUUCUAACGUGGACCCGUAAUCCGGGUUGCGGACAGUGUCUGGUGGGUAGUUUGACUGGGGCGGUCUCCUCCUAAAGAGUAACGGAGGAGCACGAAGGUUGGCUAAUCCUGGUCGGACAUCAGGAGGUUAGUGCAAUGGCAUAAGCCAGCUUGACUGCGAGCGUGACGGCGCGAGCAGGUGCGAAAGCAGGUCAUAGUGAUCCGGUGGUUCUGAAUGGAAGGGCCAUCGCUCAACGGAUAAAAGGUACUCCGGGG